GCAUCCGUAGCUCAGCUGGAUAGAGUACUCGGCUACGAACCGAGCGGUCGGCGGUUCGAAUCCUCCCGGAUGCACCA
rnacentral:tRNA from 1 species